CGCCUCUUGCCAACAACCAUGUAUAAGAGGUCCAGCCUGCCCAGUGACUAUAUGUUCAACGGCCGCGGUAUUCUGACCGUGCAAAGGUAGCGUAAUCACUUGUCUUUUAAAUAAAGACUGGUAUGAACGGCACCACGAAGGUUCAACUGUCUCCUGCAUCCAAUCCAUUAAACUGACCUCCCCGUGCAGAGGCGGGGAUGUAAUCAUAAGACGAGAAGACCCUAUGGAGCUUUAAACUAAAGGCAACUGCCAAACUAUUUUACCCAUAAGGAAAAACUACUAAACAAGCAGAAAUUGACCUAAAGUUUUCGGUUGGGGCGACCAUGGAGAAUAAAAAAUCCUCCUUGAAGAAUAGGGCUUACAACCCUUAACCAAGAACCACCAUUCUAAGUAACAAAAUUUAUGACUGCAAUUGAUCCAGUCCUACUGAUCAACGAACCAAGUUACCCUAGGGAUAACAGCGCAAUCCAUUUCAAAAGUUCCUAUCGACAAAUGGGUUUACGAC
rnacentral:rRNA from 1 species